UAAUCCCUUCCUUUUCCUCUCUUUCCCUUCACUCAUUCAUCUCUCCAAAUUUUUUCUUCUUUUUUCCUCUUCUUCUACUCCUUCUUCCUUGUGUGUGUGAUAAUUUAUAUAUGCUUUCAAUAUGCCUGGCUCCCUGUAUGCCAUUUGUAGAGCGCUCACCGUCAUACCCGAUGGCCUCCGCGCAUGGCGUAUGAGGAGCCAAGCAUAUCCAUGUCUAUAUUUCCUAUUAUAUAUAUAUGUAUGUAUACCCUAUCUAGUCAUGUUUUCAAAUCUCUAAUUUCUAUAAAGUAUAUAUCUCUUUCUUUGUUUUUUAUUUUGAAAAUCAAAUACGCACGGUUGAGGGGUCAUUGGAUGUAUCGAGCUAUCUUAUUAAGUCGCCUAUUAUAUUCUUUUGUUUUUGUUUUAACCCUAAUGUUUUAAUUACUUGAGCUAUCUUAUUAAGUCGCCUUGUGAAUAUUGUUAAAAAAAGCAUUUCUCAAUCUUAUGUUUUGUGUACUUUUUUUUCCUAUUAAUGGACAGUGAUUGAAGGAGAAUUUUUAUUUUUUUUCUUCAUCUUUUUGCAUUUUCUAUGUUAAAGUUUUCCGUUUUUUACGGGCUUCUAUUUACUGUAGUGUUAACUUAAUUCAUUAGAUUUGUUUUUUUUCAAAAAAAAUUAAUAAUAUUACUAUUACAGCUAACCCUAAUUUCAAAGGCUGCUGGAAAAAGGGAAGAAGAAAAACCCAAACUUCAAACAGUUCAUCUCCAUUUCUCAAUAUAUUUUACAAUGUAUUUCACUCAAGAGAAUAUCAAAAGGAGUGCCCAAUCGACCGAAGAUCUGAUGAGUUUAAUUCUGAUCGUGCGGUGAUGCGUGUUCGAGAAGAGGGGAGUAUCAUAGAUCUGACCUCAGGGGAUCCCAAAUAGGUUUUUUUCUUUUCUUUUUUAUAGGGUUUAUUAUAUGUUCUUGUUCCUUUGUGAAUAUAUAAUCUUAGUUGUGUUUGUAUAUUACAAUGGAAAAGAUGUGAGUAUAGAGAGAGAGGAAGAGAAAGAGGGAGAGAAGGGAUUCUCUCUUAGCUUAGGGUUAUCUGCAUAGCAUCUUAGCCCAAAUAGCUACCCAUUUUAUUACAUUAUCUAAUGAAAUUAUUAUUAUUUUUAUUUUUA